AACGAACGCUGGCGGCAUGCCUAACACAUGCAAGUCGAACGAAGUCUUCGGACUUAGUGGCGCACGGGUGCGUAACGCGUGGGAAUCUGCCCUUGGGUGCGGAAUAACUUCUCGAAAGGGAUGCUAAUACCGCAUAAUGUCGUAAGACCAAAGAUUUAUCGCCCAAGGAUGAGCCCGCGUAAGAUUAGCUAGUUGGUGGGGUAAAAGCCUACCAAGGCGACGAUCUUUAGCUGGUCUGAGAGGAUGAUCAGCCACACUGGGACUGAGACACGGCCCAGACUCCUACGGGAGGCAGCAGUGGGGAAUAUUGGACAAUGGGCGAAAGCCUGAUCCAGCAAUGCCGCGUGAGUGAUGAAGGCCCUAGGGUUGUAAGGCUCUUUUACCAGGGAUGAUAAUGACAGUACCUGGAGAAUAAGCUCCGGCUAACUCCGUGCCAGCAGCCGCGGUAAU
rnacentral:rRNA from 1 species